CAGUGGACCUCUGCGUUUGAGGCGUAGCAUUCUUCUGCCGGCGCCGUGGAUGUUUUUCCUUUACGUAUGUCCGUUUUGUGCUCGUUUGGUCGUUCUUCUGGUGUUCGCCCUGUGGCCCCUAUGUGUUUCUUUUCCGGGUUGUUGGUUUUGUCACUUAUUGGGAUGCUGUAUACUCCAGAUUUGUAUUUAUCCUCUAGCCUAUCUUUGCUGUUUCGAGGGUGCGCAGGGGUGGAGGGGUUUCGUCUUGUGGCGAGUUUCUUGUUCGCUAGGUGAAGAGCUUUUUUAGUAGCUGGAUGUUUCACUGGAUGGUGAGGUGUUGCAGCAUAAUCGUCAUUGGUGCU
rnacentral:lncRNA from 1 species